AUAUUAAAGUUGUUGCAGUUAAAAAGCUCGUAGUUGAAUUUCGGGAUCAAUAUGUCGGUCGUGCCUUCGGUACGUACUGGCAUCAUUGGUUUCUCCCUUCUGACAAACCAUGAUGUCAUUAAUUUGGUGUUAUGGGGAGUUAGGACUGUUACUUUGAAAAAAUUAGAGUGUUUAAAGCAGGCAUUAGCUUGAAUACAUUAGCAUGGAAUAAUGAAAUAGGACGUUUGACCCUAUUUUGUUGGUUUCUAGGAUCGACGUAAUGAUUAAUAGGGAUAGUUGGGGGCAUUAGUAUUCAAUUGUCAGAGGUGAAAUUCUUGGAUUUAUUGAAGACUAACUACUGCGAAAGCAUUUGCCAAGGAUGUUUUCAUUAAUCAAGAACGAAAGUUAGGGGAUCGAAGACGAUCAGAUACCGUCGUAGUCUUAACCAUAAACUAUGCCGACUAGGGAUCGGAUGAUGUUAAUUUUUUAAUGACUCAUUCGGCGCCUUACGGG
rnacentral:rRNA from 1 species